UACGUAGGGUGCAAGCGUUAAUCGGAAUUACUGGGCGUAAAGCGUGCGCAGGCGGUUUUGUAAGUCUGACGUGAAAUCCCCGGGCUUAACCUGGGAAUUGCGUUGGAGACUGCAAGGCUGGAGUCUGGCAGAGGGGGGUAGAAUUCCACGUGUAGCAGUGAAAUGCGUAGAGAUGUGGGAGGAACACCUGCGGCGAAGGCGGGUUGCUGGGCUGACACUGACGCCUGGAUGUGGCGAAAAGCUAGGGGGAGCGAACGGG
rnacentral:rRNA from 1 species